AUUGAACGCUGGCGGCAGGCCUAACACAUGCAAGUCGAACGAGUGGCGGACGGGUGAGUAAUGUCUGGGAAACUGCCUGAUGGAGGGGGAUAACUACUGUAAACGGUAGCUAAUACCGCAUACCAUCGGAUGUGCCCAGAUGGGAUUAGCUAGGAGGUGGGGUAAAGGCUCACCUAGGCGACGAUCCCUAGCUGGUCUGAGAGGAUGACGAGCCGCACUUGAACUGAGACCCGUUCCAGACUCCUACGGGAGGCAGCAGUGGGGAAUAUUUCACAAUGGGCGCUAGCCUGAUGCAGCCAUGCCGCGGGUAUGAAGAAGGCUUUCGGGUUGUAAAGUACUUUCAGCGAGGAGGCGUUACCCGCAGAAGAAGCACCGGCUAACUCCGUGCCAGCAGCCGCGGUAAUAC
rnacentral:rRNA from 1 species